AGAAUCAACGCUGGCGGCGUGCCUCAGACAUGCAAGUCGAACGAUUAAACUUUCCUUCGGGAAAGAUAUAAAGUGGCGCACGGGUGAGUAACACGUAAGUAAUCUACCUUUGAGUGGGGAAUAACCCGGGGAAACCCGAGCUAAUACCGCAUAAUGCAGCGGCACCGCAAGGUGACAGUUGUUAAAGGAGCAAUCCGCUUAAAGAGGAGCUUGCGGCAGAUUAGCUAGUUGGUAAGGUAAUGGCUUACCAAGGCUACGAUCUGUAACCGGUCUAAGAGGACGGUCGGUCACACUGACACUGAAUAACGGGUCAGACUCCUACGGGAGGCAGCAGUCGGGAAUUUGGGCAAUGGGCGAAAGCCUGACCAGCAACGCCGCGUAGAAGGAUAGAAGUUAUUCGGUAUAGUAAACUUCGAAAAGUAAGUAGGAAAGUAA
rnacentral:rRNA from 1 species